GAGGUGUUUGUCAGGAUAACUACAAACCCCAAUAAGAGACAAGCCAUCGCGACAACAAUAGAUUUUGCAACUGCUUGGUCUACAGUUUGAAGGGCAAUUAAGUUGUUGCACAUCCUUAACCAGUUGAAACGAAGACCAAUAAGAAAACGAAGACAAAGAAGAACUAUAGAAGGAAAACAUAUUAUCCGUAUCAAGGGACAUUUGGCUAACAAGAAACUUUCGGGAAUUUUGAUCAUUCUUGGCACGAUUGAGAUGCUUCA
rnacentral:lncRNA from 1 species